UCUCCGUUGGUGAACCAGCGGAGGGAUCAUUACCGAGUUUACAACUCCCAAACCCAAUGCGAACCAUACCAAACUGUUGCCUCGGCGGGGUCACGCCCCGGGUGCGUCGCAGCCCCGGAACCAGGCGCCCGCCGGAGGGACCAACCAAACUCUUUCUGUAGUCCCCUCGCGGACGUUAUUUUUACAGCUCUGAGCAAAAAUUCAAAAUGAAUCAAAACUUUCAACAACGGAUCUCUCGGUUCUG
rnacentral:misc_RNA from 1 species